rnacentral:rRNA from 1 species
GACGAAGGGGGCUAGCGUUGUUCGGAAUUACUGGGCGUAAAGCGCGUGUAGGCGGUUGCCCAAGUCGGGUGUGAAAGCCUUGAGCUCAACUCAAGAAAUGCACUCGGUACUGGGUGACUAGAGGACCGGAGAGGAUAGUGGAAUUCCCAGUGUAGUGGUGAAAUACGUAGAGAUUGGGAAGAACACCAGUGGCGAAGGCGGCUAUCUGGACGGUUUCUGACGCUAAGACGCGAAAGCGUGGGAGCA